UACAGAGGGUGCGAGCGUUAAUCGGAGUUACUGGGCGUAAAGCGUGCGUAGACGGCUAUCUAAGUCGGGUGUGAAAGCCCCGGGCUCAACCUGGGAAUUGCAUUCGAGACUGAAUAGCUAGGGUGCGGUAGAGGGAAGCGGAAUUUCCGGUGUAGCGGUGAAAUGCGUAGAUAUCGGAAGGAACAUCAGUGGCGAAAGCGGCUUCCUGGACCAGCACCGACGUUCAGGCACGAAAGCGUGGGGAGCAAACAGG
rnacentral:rRNA from 1 species